GAUGAACGCUGGCGGCGUGCUUAACACAUGCAAGUCGAACGAAACACCUUGAUUUGAUUCUUGGGAUGGAGAUCUUGGUGAGUGAGUGGCGGGCGGGUGAGUAACGCGUGGGUAAGCUGUCACAUAAAGGGGGAUAGCAGAUAGACAUGACUGCGAAUACCGCAUAAGACCACAGCACCGCAUGGUGCAGGGGUAAAAACUCCGGUGGGAUGAGAUGGACCCGCGUCUGAUUAGGUGGUUGGUGGGGUAACGGCCUACCAAGCGGACGAGCAGGAGCCGACAGGGGAGGGUGCCCGGCCACAUUUGGACUGAGCCACGGCCCCAACCCCGACGGGAGGCAGCAGUGGGGAAUAUUGCACAAUGGGGGAUACCCUGAUGCAGCGACGCCGCGUGAGCGAUGAAGUAUUUCGGUAUGUAAAGCUCUCUCAGCAGAGAAGAAAAUGACGGUACCUGACUAAGAAGCACCGGCUAAAUACGUG
rnacentral:rRNA from 1 species